AGUGAACGCUGGCGGUAGGCCUAACACAUGCAAGUCGAACGGCAGCACAGUAAGAGCUUGCUCUUACGGGUGGCGAGUGGCGGACGGGUGAGGAAUACAUCGGAAUCUACUUUUUCGUGGGGGAUAACGUAGGGAAACUUACGCUAAUACCGCAUACGACCUACGGGUGAAAGCAGGGGAUCUUCGGACCUUGCGCGAUUGAAUGAGCCGAUGUCGGAUUAGCUAGUUGGCGGGGUAAAGGCCCACCAAGGCGACGAUCCGUAGCUGGUCUGGGAGGAUGACGGGCCCAACGGGAACUGAGCCACGGUCAAGAUCCUUACGGGGGGCAGCAGUGGGGAAUAUUGGACAAUGGGCGAAGGCCUGAUCCAGCCAUACCGCGUGGGUGAGGAAGGCCUUCGGGUUGUAAAGCCCUUUUGUUGGGAAAGAAAAGCAGGAGGUUAAUACCCCGCUGUUCUGACGGUACCCAAAGAGUAAGCACCGGCUAACUUCGUG
rnacentral:rRNA from 1 species